GAUGAACGCUGGCGGCGUGCCUAAUACAUGCAAGUCGAGCGAACGGACGAGAAGCUUGCUCCUCUGAUGUUAGCGGCGGACGGGUGAGUAACACGUGGAUAACCUACCUAUAAGACUGGGAUAACUUCGGGAAACCGUAGCUAACACCGGAUAAUAUUUUGAACCGCAUGGUUCAAAAGUGAAAGACGGUCUUGCUGUCACUUAUAGAUGGAUCCGCGCUGCAUUAGCUAGUUGGUAAGGUAACGGCUUACCAAGGCAACGAUGUGUAGCCGGUCUGAGAGGGUGAUCGGCCACACUGGAACUGAGACACGGUCCAGACUCCUACGGGAGGCAGCAGUAGGGAAUCUUCGGCAAUGGGCGAAAGCCUGACGGAGCAACGCCGCGUGAGUGAUGAAGGUCUUCGGAUCGUAAAGCUCUGUUGUUAGGGAAGAACAUAUGUGUUAGAAACUGUGCAGAUCUUGACGGUACCUGAUCAAAAAGCAACGGCUAACUACGUG
rnacentral:rRNA from 1 species